rnacentral:rRNA from 1 species
UACGUAGGGUGCGAGCGUUGUCCGGAAUUACUGGGCGUAAAGAGCUCGUAGGUGGUUUGUCGCGUUGUUCGUGAAAACUCACAGCUCAACUGUGGGCGUGCGGGCGAUACGGGCAGACUGGAGUACUGCAGGGGAGACUGGAAUUCCUGGUGUAGCGGUGGAAUGCGCAGAUAUCAGGAGGAACACCGGUGGCGAAGGCGGAUCUCUGGGCCUUACCUGACGCUGAGGCGCGAAAGCUAGGGGAGCGAACAGG